rnacentral:rRNA from 1 species
CCUACGGGAUGCAGCAGUGGGGAAUAUUGCACAAUGGGCGCAAGCCUGAUGCAGCCAUGCCGCGUGUGUGAAGAAGGCCUUCGGGUUGUAAAGCACUUUCAGCGGGGGGAAGGCGUUAAGGUUAAUAACCUUGGCGAUUGACGUUACCCGCAGAAGGAGCACCGGCUAACUCCGUGCCAGCAGCCGCGGUAAUACGGAGGGUGCAAGCGUUAAUCGGAAUUACUGGGCGUAAAGCGCACGCUGGCGGUCUGUCAAGUCGGAUGUGAAAUCCCCGGGCUCAACCUGGGAACUGCAUUCGAAACUGGCAGGCUAGAGUCUUGUAGAGGGGGGUAGAAUUCCAGGUGUAGCGGUGAAAUGCGUAGAGAUCUGGAGGAAUACCGGUGGCGAAGGCGGCCCCCUGGACAAAGACUGACGCUCAGGUGCGAAAGCGUGGGGAGCAAACAGGAUUAGAUACCCCAGUAGUC